AAUCAGAGGGGAGAUGGAAGGGAGGUGUGAAGCCACAUUCCUUCUCAGAGUGAGAAGAGAGCCGUCUCCAAAAGAUCCAGAAGGCCAUCCUGUGUUGCUGCAACUUAAGGUCUUCAGUUGACUCUUCCUUGCAGGAAAGCGUUUUACAGCAGGAUACGCCUUGUUCAGCAAAUUUUAAGUGUCGUCCUGUCUGAAGGCAGGCAGAUGAAGCAGGUGAUGUUCUUCAGUCCCUGGCAACCUGUGGAUCAUCAGAUGGUACCGUCCUUGCGGCUGGAGUUGAUCCUUCAUGACACUUGCUCAAAGGAAGCACGGGCCAUAUGGCCAGAUUGGAAGGACACAAAACACUCAUUAGCGUCCAAAGUAGUCACUUACGUGGCUGGACGGUACUGCACAGCCUGUAAUUAUUCCUAGUUGGUCCCUGGUGAAUCAAACGAAAGGGUAUUUUUCCUGACCCCCUUUUGUGUCACGCCUAAAGUCCUUGUAAUCAUAGGCCCUAAUCACUUAGGUCUAGGCUCUUCUUGUGGAGAAAGAAGAGAGAAAGCUAGAUUUUUUUUUUUGUUUGUUUCCAAUUGUAAGGCUAAGCAGAGGGAUGGAAACAGUUGUCACCUUUGAAUAAUGUGGAUUGUUUCUGUGUUGUGGGGCCUUCGCCGUCUCCAGAGAAUUUUAGAAUGAUGGGAUUAAAACCCAGCGGAUUUGUA